rnacentral:rRNA from 1 species
UACGUAGGGGGCAAGCGUUGUCCGGAUUUAUUGGGCGUAAAGAGCGUGUAGGCGGCCAGAUAAGUCCGCUGUGAAAUCUCGAGGCUCAACUUCGAGCUGUCGGUGGAAACUGUCUGGCUAGAGUCCGGAAGAGGAGAAUGGAAUUCCUGGUGUAGCGGUGAAAUGCGCAGAUAUCAGGAAGAACACCCGUGGCGAAGGCGGUUCUCUGGGCCGAUACUGACGCUGAGGAGCGAAAGCGUGGGGAGCGAACAGG